rnacentral:rRNA from 1 species
AGCCGCGGUAACACCAGCUCCACUAGCGUAUACUAAAGUUGUUGCUGUUAAAAAGCUCGUAGUUGGAAAUCAGUCGCGCGCGUGUGGCCCGGUUGUGUUUCAACUGUGUGCCAAGGUUCGCCGUCGCGCGCGCGGCUUAGUUCAGAAGCGCCGGUCUGGGCAUUUAUCUGCCUGGGCCGGUGUGCUCUGAUCCUUUACUUUGAGAAAAUCAGAUCGCUCAAAGCAGGCAGUCGCCUGAAUGCACUAGCAUGGAAUAAUAAAGCACGACUUUGGCGUCCGCACUGUUGCAGCGCGGGGUGUUUUAUGGUUUGGGCCAGAGUAAUGAUUGAUAGGAACGAUUGGGGGUGCUAGUAUCGCCGGGGCUAGAGGUAAAAUUCUUUGAUUCCGGUGAGACUAACUUAUGCGAAAGCAUUCACCAAGGGCGUUUUC